GUGUCAGCAGCCGCGGUAAUACGUAGGGGGCAAGCGUUGUCCGGAUUUAUUGGGCGUAAAGAGCGUGUAGGCGGCCUGUCAAGUCCGAUGUGAAAUGUCACGGCUUAACCGUGAACCUGCAUUGGAAACUGCCAGGCUAGAGUCUGGAUGAGGAGAAUAGAAUUCCUGGUGUAGCGGUGAAAUGCGCAGAUAUCAGGAGGAAUACCGGUGGCGAAGGCGGUUCUCUGGGACAGUACUGACGCUGAGACGCGAAAGCGUGGGGAGCAAACAGGAUUAGAUACCCCCGUAGUCC
rnacentral:rRNA from 1 species